UUCUUUUUUUUGCUCUGGUAUUAGUCAACUAUGUAGGUUAUGUUGUUUCCUGAUAUAAAGGCCCAUAUAAAGUUAUAAAAUCAGCACACAAACUAGGAUUAGUCACUAUCCUAUUUCAAAGAACUAAAUUUAAAACAAUCCAGUAACAUCACCUUAUCUCCUAUCUAAUAAUUCAUAAAUGUUGUGUUUGGUAAGCUACAGCACACAUUUUUGUAGUGCUAUUAAUUGCUUUGCUCUUGCUUCUUUAUGCUACUAUCACUGAUUAUGGUUGUGUCAUAUAAAAGGCUACAAGCUCUAAGAGAAUUACAAGGGAGCAUUCAAAUGCUUUUUUAUUAUAGUGGAAUUUUGUUUCAGGAAACACAUGUUGCUACAUUUUAACCAUUCCAAACUUCUGCUCCUAGUCCAAUCCUUUAGCUGUUUCCACAAGUUGGGGGAGCCGGAGCAUGCUGGACUAGGGAAAUUUAGCAAGAGGUAAACUCUCCUCCUGAUUAAGGAUUUUGCCUCUUAGAAAAUUGAAUGAGAUAGGUGGAGAUAAGACUCAGCAUAGUGAUCAAUUACCACGAGCCAAUCAGUCACUGUGAUGCUCAAGAAGCUAGAUCACAUACCCACAAUUUUUUUAAAGAAGGGAAACUGAUAUUCAAUCUUUCUGUUCUUUUCUCUCUGAAUGCUCUCAUUUUAUUAGCUUCAGUUAACAAAUUAUGAUUCCCAAAUAUCCACCUUCAUUCCCAAAGGUCCUGUAUUUUUAAUUUCCUCUAGAAUGUUUCCAAUUAUAAAUCAUCAUUCCAAAUUCAACAACAAAUUCCAAUUUUACUCAGUUUCUUAAAACUAACUCCCUUAUCCCAAUCACUCAGGCUUACAAUCUUGAAAUAUUCAUUGAUGCCUAUUUACAAUCCACUGGAAUCAACUGCCAAGUCCUAGCUAUACCUCCUUCAAUCUCUCAAAUCAGCAAAAACAUUUUGACUGUGCAGAGAACUGUGUGUGGUAGGCAGGCCAAGGACUGCAGGAGAUAAGAAAAUAAGCCUAACACACUGUAUUCCUUUCUUUAAGAACUUAAACUCAAAAAAAAAGAAAGUCAACCAAUUAUCAUAUUUAAAAUAUAUUGUGCCCUUACAUUUGCCAGGCACUGUGCUGAACCAUUUUCAUGCAUUAUCAAAAAAAAAACUGGGCAUGGUGGCUCACUCCUGUAAUCUCAACACUUUAAGAGGCCAGGGCAAGAGGAUUACUUGCGCUAGAAGAGACCAGUCUGGGGCAACACAGUGAGACGCCAUCUCUACAAAAAUUUUUUAAAAGUAGCCGCACAUGGUGGCAUGUACCUGUAGUCCCAGCUACUCGGGGGACUGAGGCAGGAAGACAGCUUAAACAUAGGAGUUUGAGGAUGCAGUGAGCCAUGAUCUUGCCACUGAACUCCAGUUUGGGCAACAGAGACCCAGUCUCAAAAACAAACAAAAAAAACCUAUAAGGUAUACACUAUCAUCUCCAAACUACAGAUGGGAAGAAAUAACACCUGCAGAGGUUGAAGUGUUUAAAGUCAUACAGUUAUUAAGUGAUAGAGCUUGAACUCAAAAACAGAUGACUACAAAGCCUUUGCUACCCUUAAAUAAAAUAACAAAAUAUAACUGCCAGAAGAAACGUAAAAAGAAAAGAAAAAAACAAUCUCUUCCUAACUUAUCUCUUCUGCUCCAUCUCCACUGACAAUACCAGAUUUCAGAAUUUCUGCAAAGUUGGCCCUUGAAUGGGCUGCUGAAAAAUCAUCUAGGAAGCCUAUGUAAAUGAAUAUUCACAGUCCAACCCUAGAGAUUCUGAGUCACUGGGUAUGGGGUGUUUCUGAUGCAUAGUUUUUUUAAAAACCAUACUCCUAAUUCUUGUUCAUUCAUUCAUACAACAAAGAUUUGAAUUCCUACUAUGCACCAAGCCAUGUCAAAGGUUCAUCUUCUACAGAAGGAAGAUCUGGUGUAGUGGCUCUGCCAUACUUACUUGCUAUAGUAUCUUGGGUAAGUAGCUUAACCUGUCUUAAAUCUAAAUUUUCUAGCUUAUAAAACAAAGAUAAUACUUUCCAGGUUGUUGUGAAAGUUAAUGAGAUAAUAUAAAGCAUUUAGCACAGGGGCUGACAUACAAUUCUUGAUAAAUGCUAGCUAUUAUUUCCUGAGAAACACAACCUAGAGAGUAAUUUUUUUCUAGAGAUUAAAUUUAAGCAAAGUAACAAGGAAAUAGUCUAGGCAUUCACACAUCGGCGGGGCGGCGGGGGGAAUCUAAACCAUGUAACAAAGAUUACACAGAGAGUUUUCUCUAAUUAGGUGAAUCAAAUUCAUAAGGCUGAGAUUUUUUUUUUUUGUAAGAUUUCUUUAAACAGAAAUACAGUUAACUUUACUAACAAAAAUGAAGCAACACCUCAAGUUCUGAAAAGGCAGUCAGGAGUCCCCAGAGUAUUAACAGAAAGAACACAGGACUUAAAUACAGAAGAACUCAGGUCCCAAUAGCAGAUCGAACCACCUGCCAGGUAGACGGCAUCAAAAAAGUAAUUUAAAUUCUCUAAUUCUGUUUUUUCACUUAUAAAAUUAGGUUAAAAAAUAGCUGUCACAGAAAGCAUGGCCAGCAGGUCCUCCACAGGACCUUUCCCUUCUGUGCCUAAAAUUCUGAACUGUGUUUUACAAUAAGCCUGAAAGUUCAUUCACCGCAAUAUAGUAUUUGCAAUCCAAAGUCAGUAUUUCAACACGAAAUUGGCAGGCAGGAAAGGAGGGAGAGUCUUUCCCUAAGUCUAAGUAAGAAUCGGACUUCUCACUAGGAGUAUGUCUCUUGUACUUAUUUCAAACAGCAUGCAAAGCAUGACUCAUCAAGGAAUAAGAAUUUCAGUGAGUGCUUUUUGAUUAAGAAGAUAUUGUGAAUAUUUCUGCCUUUGGAGAUGGCUAAAGAAAUAGCAUUAUUAAGUGGGUGCAGUGGCUCACGUCUGUAAUCCCAGCACUCUGGGAGGAUCAGGUGGGUGGAUCACCUGAGGUCAGGAGUUCAACACCAGCCUGGCCAACAUGGUGAAACUCCGUCUCUACUAAAAAUACAAAAUUUAGCUGGGGGUGGUGGUGGGCACCUGUAAUCCCAGCUACUUGGGAGGCUGAGGCAGAAAAUCACCUGAACCCAGGAGGCAGAAGGAGGUUGCAGUGAGCCAAGACUGUGCAAUGAGAGCAAAACUCCAUCUCAAAAAGAAAAAAGAAAACAGCAUUAUUAUUAAACAAUAUGCACAGAAUUCAUGGAAGAAACGUGAACUUCCCACAUACACCUUCCUUCGUUUACCCAGCUUUUCCCCACUGCUCUUCAAACAAGAUCAUUCUUGCACUAAUUGCUGGAAUGUGGCCACAAGAUGAACAUGCUCCUCAUUCACUGACUCCUACAAAAUAUUUAAGCUUACAUUUUAAGAUUGCUAAGAAGUUGAAGUCAGUUAGCAAAAUUCCUUAAUCCGCUCCAGAUAUGAAUAUAUCCAAGACUUUGACCAUAAGGCUAUAUUAACCUCUGCUAUCAUAAUCAGUGGAACUAAUUUACCAAUAUUUUACUCACCGGGGAAAAAAAGACAUAAAAGGGAAAAGGAAAUUCACAAUGCAGCUCUGUAACCAAGCUACGAUAUAACAAGGAAUUAAUAAGGAGUCCCCUCAUUUGGCUUGAAUGAUGGAGAAACUUGAGUAAAAACAUGCAUUUAAAAAAAACAUUUAAGGCCAGGCGCGGUGGCUCACGCCUGUAAUCCCAGCACUUUGGGAGGUUGAGGCGGGCGGAUCACGAGGUCAGGAGAUCGAGACCAUCCUGGUCAACAUGCUGAAACCCCAUCUCUACUAAAAAUACAAAAAUUAACUGGGUGUGGUGGCACGUGCCUGUAGUCCCAGCUACUCAGGAGGCUGAGACAGGAGAAUCGCUUGAACCCGGGAGGUGGAGGUUGCAGUGAGCCGAGAUCAUGCCACUGCACUCCAGCCUGGCGACAGAGCGAGACUCCAUCUCAAAAAAAAGAAAAACAAAAAAACAAAAAGCAAAAAACAUUUAAAAAACGAUCCCCUCCACCACCCAGAGAAAAAAAAAAAACCUUAGGAUGAUCGUACAAGUGUUAUAAUGUUUUUUUAAAAAAUGUUUGUGAAUGCCUUUUAAAAAAAAUGCUUUCUUCACCACUAAUAGCAGGUUUCAGUUCUGUUAUUUAGUUUUUAAGCCACCAAUGGGAACCUAUGUGCCCAAAUUGUAUUUUACAAUGCUUUCCAAUACAGACCAAAAGUGUAGAUAAGGGUAUCAAUGUGAAUGAAGUAUUUCUUUUCAAAUUCUUUUCAAAAUAAGUAUUCUCUUUUAUGACCUGAAUCUAGGUGAUUCAUAUGUUGUUUUGCUGGACGAUCCCUAGAAGUUUUGGGAUUAAGUUUGAAGUUUCCUAACUCUUAACAGCUUUCUUAUCUAAGACGAUCAAGUUUUACAGAUGGCCACUUUUUGUCAGCCACCUUUUCCCUAAUUUAUAUAAGGAAUGAAAUGAGCAACCUGAUUCAGGUUAUAACUUUUUACUUAAACUAAGUGAGUAAUUGUCAUUUAGAGACCUAACAGCUGAAUGCAUUCUCUAAAGCAUAAAGAAACAGACAAAUUAUAGGUGCACAAUUUGCUUUCAGGGACCACAGAAUUUUGAAAUGUAAAAGCUUCCUGUUAAGACCAUACUUAGAGAUGUUUAUCUCAGGGUCCUCAACCUCAAGGACUUAUCCUCCAUGUGCAAAUAAAGCUGAAGGUGUAACUUCCGAGGAGGCACCACUGGCAACUUGUAAGACCAAAAAGCCUUUUGAGAACCAAAAUAACUGAAACUCUAAAGGGGGAAUUUCAGAUUGUGACAAACGGUAAAAGAGAGUGAGGUGGCAAGGGGACUCCUAACCAGUUCCAUUCAAAUCAUCAAUGUGCAGUUAACAACCUCUCCUUAUUGGAGAAACCAAUGUAAUAACUUAAAAAUAUAUUACUGUAAUAAUCGUAAUUUUAAAACAUAAAUAGCCUAGGUUAAAUUGAACCCCUCUCCCCGAUCCUACUGGUCAUUCAGCAUGUUUUAAAUUCAAGGUUGCCCUUUAGGAAAGGAGGUCACUUAAGGACAGUUUACCUCAAUGAGACAUCUUGCAUACUAAUUCAAAACUAUUUUAGAAGGGGGAAAAUGGAGAUGAGAAAAGUAACAUACUACUUGAGAUACUUGAGAUGUUACCAUAUUAUUUCUCAUGGCCACAAUUAUUUACACUAUUUUUUUUUGAAAACUCAGUAAUUUCUAAAGCAUUAAUUAUGUAGCAAUAUUUGUCACUUUAACAAAACACAUUUGAAAAGUCCCAUCCUACUGACUCAGGCCAAAUCUAAUUUUAAAACUGAACCUAGACAUAAAACUACUCACCAAUUAGACUAAGAAGGGAGAAAGAAAAAAAAUUAUUGGUUCAGAGAAAUGACACUGGAUUAAGGAAAAACUUUUAAAUAAAGUGUUCAUCAAAAAAAUACAUAGAAGUUCCAAGGCUAAUCUAAGCUAGUGUUUUCCUAGGGAGAAUAUUAAGAAGUUGGUUGUUUCUCUCUACCUAACUGGGAUUUUAGAAACUGCCACACUAGCUAGUUAUGAGAAUGAAGAUUAAAGAAAUUUCACAUAAAGAGCGAAGGACACACAAUCUUUUAAGUAACAAUAAUGAAAUCAAUAAUUAUAAUAAAUAAUAAAAAAACAAGCCUGGCAGUCCACCCCUCACUGACUUCCCCAUCAAAAAAAAAAAAAAAAAAAAAAAAAAAACUGGGAGUGUUCUGGGAAUUGGAGAGAUGUCAUCAGCACAGGAAAAAAAAGCACUUUUCUAUAUGUCAUCGUGAAGCAGUGAUUUUACAUAAAAAUAAGGGUAGUCUAUUCUCUAUGUAGUUAUGAGUGUGGUACAACUCUCUAAAACGUCUAUUAAUACAAAGUAAACGACCACACUUUAAAGCCAUUCUACAUUUUCGCAAACUACCCCACAUAUCUAGGAGUAACUAUUUGCAACUUAAACACAUUCGUAUAUACCUCUAUACCUUCCGGCUUCCUUCAAGAUACCAUCACAGAAUGAACGAAUACAACUUAAAUUAGUUUUUUUUCCAGGGUGCUUCCUUUCCCCCUCUCCAUGAAACAUAAGUACAUUUUUUUAAGUCAUAUAAAUGGACACCAAGCACCGGUAAUUCAAAAUCUUUAAAACCUGCUUAAUUUUAAAAGUUCUAGUAAGAUGUGCUCAGGUUGGAAACUAAAAACUACCUUAUAAGGGUAUAAAAGACUGAAAGCAGGAAGCGGCUUUGACAAAACUAAGGAAGUUGCAGCGCGCUUGCUCACUGGGGGACUUUUUUGAGGCUACAGAAGUAACACAUGACAUCUUUCUCCCUCGAAUUAAAAUGUGACUUGGUUCACCGGUUAAAACGCAGAGGGAGAUGGAAAUGACCCGGAGUCGAAAAGAGAAGGUUGAGGAAAGGGUGGAAGCGCCUCCUGCAGCCACGAAUAUCCUCCAGUGCCUGGGAGAAAACGGCCUAAUCGAAAACGUCCGCGGCAUACAUCCAUUCUUAAAACUUGAGUGGCUGCUUUUCUGGGUGGAAAAGAGCGGUGUCAGACAGGGUGAGCAGUCGGGGAACGGAUGAACAAAGACUUGCACCGUGGCCCUGAUGCCUUUGUUCCGAGCUUUAUUCAGUUGUACUUGUGCGUCGUUACAGGACUUUAGAAUGUAGCCCUGCCCCCCAACCCCCACCUCCCAGGGCCGACCUGUGCUCCUAAGGAAGGCAAAACUCCCAAGAAUAUAUUCUGCGUAACUAUACAAAUAGGCCAUUAUUCAAGGCUUUUGGAUUAUGACAAAGAUUACCCUCAGGAGUAGUAAGAUUCUACUAGCAGGAUAAUAGAAAGGAUUAAGGCUCCCUCCCAAAAAAAAAUUUUAAGUUAAAAACGGAGGCGGGCCGCAGUGGGUUAUGCCUGUAAUUUCAAUGCUUUGGAAGGCCGAGGUGGGAGGAUAGGAUAGCUUGAGGUUAGGAGUGCGAAACCAGCCUGGGCAACAUGGGGAGCCCCCCCCAUCCCUCCAAAAAAUAAAAGAAAACUGGAAAUCCUUAAAGAAGCCUUUCAAACUUUAGAUCAGAAUCACCUGAAAGGUUUGUUAAAACAGAUUGCUGGGCCACACCCCCAGAAUUCUCUGACUGGGCUGUCUGAAAUAAUGCCUGAGAAUUUGCGUGUCUAAUAAGUUCCUAGUUCCACUUUAGGACCCUAGAAGGUUAAUAAUAUCUUUCCUCUCUACCAGGCUUAUCUUACGAUAAACCAUUCUGGCUUUGCUAAUGUGAAGCUAAAAUAAAAAUAUUCUUUAAAAGGAAAGAUGUCUUAUUCAGUCCAAAAGAUCAUCUAAUGUGGUAUUAAGCUGGCCUGGGGGAUGAAUCGGGUGUUUCAUUCAUUCGUUUGACAGGCUAUUCCCACCUGUGUCCACUCCCCAGACUUCUCCACCAGUCAUCAAUGAAUCAUGAAUCGCUUGCCUCCUGAGAGAAACGUUUCCUGACCUCCCAAUGGUUGUCUCUCCCAGUUGGAAAAUACUCCCACCAGAGUUUGAAGAGAGCCUGGCAUGUAAUAAGUGCUCAAUAAAUAUCUGUUGAGAGAAUAAAUGAAUCAAAUAACAAAAAUAAAACUAUAAAUUAUAAGAAAUUAGAAGGGAAUUUAGAAAAAAAUGUUGAUAUAAUCUCAAGGUGGGGAGGACUUUCCGAAGUAAAAGAAGAAACCCAUAGCCUUUAAUGGAAAGAUUUGUUUACAUGAACAAUUAAAUUCCCACUAAGUUACAUUUUUAAAUUAUAGAUUAGAAGAAGAUAUUUUAAAAUAGAAAAAAUAUCCAGAGCUGUAUGGAAAAUGAACAUGCUGAUCACUGGUGAAGAUGUGAAUUGCCACACCCUUCUGGAAAGUUAUCUAGCAGUAUCUGCUAAAACAACAUUCACAUAUAUUAGACUUAGGAAUUUCAUUUUGUUGAAUUCUAAAGACAUGCAAAUACUGAUGUCGGAGAGAUCACGAUUAUGAAAGAUUUCAAAAUCAGAAGAUUUAGAAAUAUAUUGUUUGUUCCCAGUGUCACUAUGGCCAAGUAAAUCUCAGGGGCUUUCUUAGCCCAGAAGACAAGGCUGGAUCUUGAGGGACAACUAGCAAUCUCUUCCAUCUGUCUGUAUUAACCUAGAGAGAUAUGGAGCAGAGAUUGACACUUACUCCUUCCUGAGUAAUAACACCUGGAUUUUAUUCAGAUGCUGUGUACCCAGCCAAAAGACUACAUUUCUCAAUCUCCAUUGUAGCUGGAUAUGGCUGUGUGAUCAAGUUAUGACCAAUGAGAUAGAAGUAGCUUGGCCAGGCACAGUGGCUCACACCUGUAAUCGCAGCACUUUGGGAGGCCAAAGCAGGAGGAUCACUUGCACUCAAGAGUUGGAAACUGCAGACCAGCCUAGAGAACAUAGUGAGACAUUGAUUGUCUCUACACAAAAUGAAAAAAUUAGCUGGGUAUGGUGGCAUGUGCCUGUGGUCCCUGCUACUUCCAGCUACUUGGGAGGCUGAGAUGGAAGGAUUGCUUGAGCCUGGGAGAUUGAGGCCUCAGCGAGCCAUGAUCAUGUCACUGUGCUCCAGCCUGGGUGACAAGAGCAAGACCCUGUCUCAAAAAAAAAAAAAAAAGUAUCUGCGUGGAACAUCUGGAAAACAUCUUUAAAGAAGGCUGACUCAGGAGGAGCGCCAUUUUGUUUCUUGCCUCCACCCUUCUUCCUGCCUGAAACAGAGAAGCUUUACUCAAGCCCGAAAGUAGUCACUACCAUGAAUGAUAAGUAAUAUAAGGAAGAAAAUGUAAGACAAAUAAGUGCCCUCUGAGUACCAAACAGGAAUGUACUGUUUAUAGAGAUUUCAAAUCAGCAGAAAAUUCAAAUAGUUAUAACUUUUCUUUAUAAUCCACCAUGAGAAAGAGGAACGACAAGAAGCUGAUUCCUACCAAUUGCAUUUCCUGGGCUCAUUUAACCAUGCCCAGAAGGAAUUAGGACGAUGAAAGAUAAAAAGAUAAAGGAGCACUGGUAGAAUAAGAGGAGGAGCCAACAUAUCCUCUCCCCUUUGAUUCAGACAACUUCUCCACCAUCACCUUCUUCACAAUGGCCACUUUUCCUCUGCAAUUGUGGUUCUUCUUCCCUGGCAAUGGGUCCAGGGCUCUGUUAACUCAGCUCCUCCCCAGUCCUAGAGGUAGAUGGUAGAGGCUUCCUGCUAUUGUUACUCUCUGGGGUUCCCCUUCUUCUCCAGUUUGGCUUUCCAGCCCUUCCAACUCCUUUGUAACUAGUUCCUGGUAUUAAAUUCACUUAACUGAA